UACGUAGGGGGCAAGCGUUGUCCGGAUUUAUUGGGCGUAAAGAGCGUGUAGGCGGCUUUACAGGUCUGUUGUGAAAACUCGAGGCUCAACCUCGAGACGCCGGUGGAAACCGUAAAGCUAGAGUCCGGAAGAGGAGAGUGGAAUUCCUGGUGUAGCGGUGAAAUGCGCAGAUAUCAGGAAGAACACCCGUGGCGAAGGCGGCUCUCUGGGACGGUACUGACGCUGAGACGCGAAAGCGUGGGGAGCGAACAGG
rnacentral:rRNA from 1 species